GAUGAAGAACGCAGCGAAAUGCGAUACGUAGUGUGAAUUGCAGAAUUCAGUGAAUCAUCGAAUCUUUGAACGCACAUUGCACCUCUCGGUAUUCCGGGAGGUAUGCCUGUUCGAGCGUCAUUUUUACCCUCAAGCUCUGCUUGGUGUUGGGUGUUUGUUCCGCCUCUGUGUGUGAACUCGCCUCAAAACAAUUGGCAGCCGGCGUACUUGUUUCGGAGCGCAGCACAUUUUGCGAUCCAGAUCAACGUACAGCGGCAUCCAAGAAGCCUUAUUUAACGCUCUUGACCUCGGAUCAGGUAGGGAUACCCGCUGAACUUAAGCAUAUCAAUAAGCGGAGGA
rnacentral:misc_RNA from 1 species